rnacentral:rRNA from 1 species
AGCGAACGCUGGCGGCGUGCUUAACACAUGCAAGUCGAACGUGAAAUGUAGCAAUACAGAGUAAAGUGGCGUACGGGUGAGUAACACGUGGGUAAUCUACCAAAGAGCCUGGAAUAACCGACCGAAAGGUUGGCUAAUACUGGAUAGUUCAAAUGAAAUAUAAUGUUUCGAUUGGGAAAGGGAGCGAGCAAUCGCCUUCACUUUUUGAUGAGCCCGCGUCUGAUUAGCUAGUUGGUAGGGUAAUGGCCUACCAAGGCGACGAUCAGUAGCUGGUCUGAGAGGAUGAUCAGCCACACUGGAACUGAAACACGGUCCAGACUCCUACGGGAGGUAGCAGUGGGGAAUCUUGCGCAAUGGGCGAAAGUCUGACGCAGCCACGCCGCGUGAGUGAAGAAGGCCUUCGGGUUGUAAAGCUCUGUCGGAAGGGACAAAAACGUUUAAGGUUAAUAGCCUUAGAUCUUGAUGGUACCUUCAAAGGAAGCACCGGCUAACUUCGUGCCAGCAGCCGCCGUAA